CCACUGCACAUCUUCCGGAGGCAUUGUCCACUCCCAAUUCUCCAUUUGGAGGGAAGGGUCCCACUUGGGAUAUCCACUAAUCAGGUCCCUUGUAAAGAUUACGCCGCGUCUCCCUCUGCAACGGAAGCGGCCUUGCAGGGAACGAACUCACACAGUAGAUAGUUUCUGAAAGCUUUGAUUGUGUGGUUCAUCACAGAAUCUGAGGUUUUUGUCACAUUGUAUAGUGAGAGCGGAAUAUUUUUCAGUAGUAAUGAUGUAAAUAUUUACAGUGUGGAAGAAACAAAAGUCUGCUAGUGUAGUAGGAAUGAUCCUUUCGAAUGAAUCACAAUCUAUGAUUAGCACUAAUGAGCCCUUGGUUACGACGGACGCUCAUUGUAAGGGAAGUCAGUUCAUGCUCUAUCCACAGCCACGUCGAAGUUCCAUGUGACUCUCGCUCUCUCUCGCCGUGGACUCUAAAUGGAGUUUGCUUAACGAGGCGGAGUGAAGUUCGAUUGGGGUCGGGGAAACGGCGGUGGGCCACCACGAUUCUGUCGAGGUGGGUCGUGAGGUGGUGCUUCGCAGGUGAUGAAAAGUAAUGGAAGGUAGGAAGGGAAUGUGAGCAGCAUGACUUUGAGCAGUUUUGCUCGAGAAUGCGGUGGUCCAUGUAACGAUGAGUGUGUUUGGAGUUGUGCUGAAGGGAAGCGAUUUGAGCCAACUCGCGAUCAUGUUUCUCCAGAUUGCUCGGGUUGGUUCGGCCGCUGCGCAGCUUGUCUCUAACUGUGGAGCCCGGUACCGCAUCGAUGGGAGAUCGGAGAUACUAGCUGUUCAAUUGCUCCGCCCCUCUUGCAAGGCAGCACUUAAGAGGGUGGACUCGGCGGAGGUGGGUCUAACAAUGAGGGGAAUGUAAUAAGGGGCUGAGAAGGCAGCAGAAGCGUUCGUCCUCUGCGCAGUCCCCAGCCCUUGAAAAUGCUUGCGGCCAGAAACAUCACUGCAGCUCCCCUGGUCCCCGGUCACAUCCGCCGCUCUGUCCUGGUUCCACCCAAGCCAAGCUUACUCGGCUUCUCUGCUGCUCUCGUAACCCUCUCCAGCACACUUUCCAUCCAUAUCUCCAGCAAUCCGGAGGUCCAAUAAUAGUGGCUACCUGUUCCCGCCCACCUUUCGCGCUUGGCCACAACCGCCGGCCUAGCAUACCUGGAACUCGCGCCUGCGCCAGUGGGUACCUAGCUCGUAGAUCUCUCCUUGGAUCUGACCCCACUGGAUCUCACCAAUGGAUAAAGCUCGGAUUCUUGUUGGAAUAGACGAGAGAUUUCCUCACUACGUAAUUUGUAGGAGUGAAAAUUAAACUUCGAUAAUGUUAUUUUACUAAGAUUAAUCUCCGAAACUUGACCAUUGUGCUGUGAAAAUAGUAGCAAGAGCAUAGGAGAUGUGGUGCAUGGACGUAGCGAACUUGCGAUUUCCGAAAAUUACUGUGCACAAUUGGUCCCAUGUUUUGCGCGGAGGAAAGCAAGAAAUUGGCAACCUGGUGGAAACGCGUCCUGACUGAACCCGUUUUUUCGUCAACGAAGUUUGGAGAUUGCUCCUCGAAAAAAAUCGAAGGAAAAUGUAAUUGAAGACGAAACCGAGAAACUGGAAAAAGUCGGAGGAGGGAACCCUGGAAGCUCCGGAAGCCCCGGUUCGCGCGUAGUGGGGAUGCAAUAUCCAACGACCCAAUCGCGAAAGAGAAAAAGAGAAGUCCGCAAUUUUAAAAGCUUCGUAAAAGAUCUAGCCUUUUUCAGCUAGGGUUUGCGCAAGGGAAGCAAUUAUCUGCGUUGCUGCGUAUCAUUGGCGAAGACGGAUCCCCAGCUCUCGCAUGUCGGAGGUACUUGUGAGAUUUUAAACUCUCAACGAUUCCGGAGGUCUGAGGGUUGGAAUCGACAGUUUAGGCUUUUUCAGGGGGUCCGCUGCAUGCAAGUUGCGAGGCUGGUGGGCGAGAUGGUGAAGUGCGACCUAGUAAUGGCGUGUAACCUCCAGCCUCGCGGGAUCAGGUUCGCGUCACCUGGAGAUGGGAUUAGCAGAUUAUCUAUCGAUGUGAUUACAAGACAAUCGUGAAAACCGAAGAAAAGAAGCUUCUUGAAUGAUUGAGAGGAUGAAGGCUUACAGUAGGUGAGUGCGCGGAGCGUCGAUCGAAUCUCGAUCUCGCGCACAACGAUUUCACAGAACGCUGCUCGACAUGGCUCAAAGAAGGAAGACGACGAAAUGAAGCUGCGAACAUGACACGACAGUCUAGUCUAACAUACAUCUGCUCGGUACUUGUUCUGCAAACUCCCUGAACUUUGCACCCACUUCGACGGUGCACAAAUGUGGUCUAAACCUGCACGAUUAGACCACAUCAGUGUCUAACCUGCAGGAUUAUCUUAAAGCUAAGCCGAUCUUCUAGUGCUAGAACUGCUUUAGGUGACUUUGAGUUCACUCUAGCGCUCGGAGCAAUUCCGCAGUUACUGAGCUGAAGCAGCCAACAUGUCGCUGUUCGGCAUCGUUGUGCUGAGCACGGUGGCUACAAAUCCAAUCGUCUCCUCCAAGUUCGUUUGUUCGAAACUGGUGUCAACUUGUAAUCUUCGGUGAAUUCUCGACAAGAAACUAUUGUCUUUUCAGUUGCAUCCGUACCCCACACAGUAGAUGUUGAUGAUGAUAAUACUAAACUGCACAUGUUGUAAGAACCAUGCAUCGGCAAAUGGGUCAUGUGGGGCUUUCUAUAUUUUCUCCAUCAGAUCAGCUACGGCAACUGCUGGUCGGAGAUUCUCUACUACUACGACUACUGUUGAACAGGAUCUGAUGUGAAUACAGACAAAUAUUUUUUUA